AUCGAUAAAGGCAAACCAUCCGAAAGGGUGGGACGCAAAGCCAUAGGGCCUUUCACAUCAGUGAGUGGCAGCCGUGCUACCGAAA
rfam:Geosporobacter subterraneus DSM 17957 genome assembly, contig: EJ58DRAFT_scaffold00002.2